UACGGAAGGCAGCAGUGGGGAAUAUUGCACAAUGGGCGCAAGCCUGAUGCAGCCAUGCCGCGUGUAUGAAAAGGCCUUCGGGUUGUAAAGUACUUUCAGUCGUGAGGAAGGUGUUAAGGUUAAUAACCUUAGCAAUUGACGUUAGCGACAGAAGAAGCACCGGCUAACUCCGUGCCAGCAGCCGCGGUAAUACGGAGGGUGCGAGCGUUAAUCGGAAUUACUGGGCGUAAAGGGCACGCAGGCGGUUUAAUUAAGUUGGAUGUGAAAUCCCCGGGCUUAACCUGGGAAUGGCAUUCAAGACUGGUUAGCUAGAGUCUUGUAGAGGGGGUAGAAUUCCAUGUGUAGCGGUGAAAUGCGUAGAGAUGUGGAGGAAUACCGGUGGCGAAGGCGGCCCCCUGGACAAAGACUGACGCUCAUGUGCGAAAGCGUGGGGAGCAAACAGGGAUUAGA
rnacentral:rRNA from 1 species